rnacentral:rRNA from 1 species
AUUGAACGCUGGCGGCAUGCUUUACACAUGUAAGUCGAACGGUAACAGGCCGCAAGGUGCUGACGAGUGGCGAACGGGUGAGUAAUGCAUCGGAACGUGCCCAGUCGUGGGGGAUAACGCAGCGAAAGCUGCGCUAAUACCGCAUACGAUCUAUGGAUGAAAGCGGGGGACCGUAAGGCCUCGCGCGAUUGGAGCGGCCGAUGUCAGAUUAGGUAGUUGGUGGGGUAAAGGCUCACCAAGCCAACGAUCUGUAGCUGGUCUGGGAGGACGACCAGCCACACUGGGACUGAGACACGGCCCAGACUCCUACGGGAGGCAGCAGUGGGGAAUUUUGGACAAUGGGCGCAAGCCUGAUUCAGCAAUGCCGCGUGCAGGAAGAAGGCCUUCGGGUUGUAAACUGCUUUUGUACGGAACGAAACGGUCCUGGUUAAUACCUGGGGCUAAUGACGGUACCGUAAGAAUAAGCACCGGCUAACUACGUGCCAGCCGCCGCGGUAACAC